GUUUGUAAGGUUUAUAUGGCAUUUUGAUAGGCUUAUCUGCAGGUAAGUGAGGUAGGUGGCUGAAGAUUGAAAAGACUGCAUGAAGUGGACUCCUCCAACGUAAUGACUGCGCAGCUCAACUGGGCACAGCAGGAUAAAUUGAAUCGGCGCCGGCUUUAGAGGGGAGCAUGUGCUUGCCUGUGUCCUCUUCAAUCUACUGAGAAUGUUUCAACGAGACCACCAUACAAAUGUGACAAAGCCUUCAAAACUGGGAGAAAAAUUAGAAGAAAAAAGAUGAAUUAAAAAGGGUUCAAUUAAAUCCGUGUGAUGUUUUAGCGUGUGGUGAACAAUGCAAGUAGUCUGGUCGUAAUAAUUAAUUAAAAGGUGUGGUCAAGAUAGAACCGUGCACGAGCAAAUCAGAAAAUUUCUCAUGUAAAUCUUGUUGUCUUGACCUAGUCACAUCUGGGACAUAAUUACGAGCAGAGCCAGGAUAAUGAAUGUUUUGUACCACACCUGACAGUUGAUAGAAUGGCCUACAAUUAUUGUCACUUAAAAAAUUAUUCUCAGAAUGAGGAUUGACUUUUCAAGGGGUAUGCCUCACAUAUCAGAGAAGGUAUAUGAAGCAUGUCACAGUCUGGCCAUGUUUCUUCGUAUGACAGACGUACACAAAAAGAAGUCUUAAAAUCUGGUUUAAAACUUGAACUUGUGGACUGAUUCAUACCCUACAUACCCCUCUGCUAAUUACUCCCAUAUCACUCUUAGAACAACUUAUAAAUAUUACAAGUUCCUCUUGAGCAUUCACAAAGUAGAAAAGUAGAAGCAGUAUCAAAUAUGGAAAAAAAAUCUAUAAUUUUCUGAUAAAUGUGGCCCCAGCUCUGUACUGUAAAAUUUGUAAAUUAUUCUAAUAUUCUAAAUAUGAUUGUGUUGCUUUGUGUCCUGUCUGAUAUGUGCUAGAUUUGUACUGGAUUCAAGCGAUCAAAGUCAAAACAUUUCCAUAAGUCAUAAGUUAAUGCAUCAGUAUAUAUCAGGCUUUCCUCGUAUUAAACAUAGGAUGUAGGCUGUCAGAAAUAGUUGUAGGCAUUACGGCGCAUUACUGUAGUUUGUCACAGUGAAACACUGAAUGAUCUUCUUGCCUUGAAUUGUUUGUUUUGGUGUACAUUUUACAGUACUAAAAUUAAUUUAUUUGAUGGAAAACAGUACAUUUGUAGUGAAAACUGAUAAAAACUUGCUUCUCAUAUAGCAAUAAACUAUACAGAACAACCUGUCAUGAACAGGAUGAGGCUACAGAAGUGUACUACAUACAGUAAGCAAGAGAUGUUUGUGAAAACCAGUUAUUUGGUUUUAGAAUUCAACAUGCCAUAAUAAACACAAAAUCUAGCAUGCAUAUAUAUAUAUAUAUAUGUGUGUGUGUGUGAUAUACAAUAUUCUAAAAAUUAUAAGCUUUGAUUGCUGCCUUGCUAUGACCACAAUAUAAACAAGCCAUGCAACUUUUAUGGUGAUUAGUUACAAACCAUUGAACCACAUUACACUGAUAAUGAGCCUCAAAGCCCUUUGGCAAAUUCCACAGCCACUCACAUGACGUGAGAAAUGAGACAGAACAUCUAUAUUCAAUUCCACUGUCCAUACAUUUCCAGUGUUGCCUACAUGUUUAUUUGCAUGCCGAAUCUUGUCGAUUUUAAUUACUGUGCUCUUCCUGGAAUGCUGUAAAGCUUGUGAAUAAUUAAGUGUAAAUGCACCAUACGCCUUCAAGCGAUGAAGCUUUAUUGUGCAAUUAUGGAAGGAAAAUUGUGAAAAAGAACCGUCAUAUUUACAUAUGUACAUUUUUUGUAUGUCUCCGUGGUUACAUAAACAGUAUUUGCGCAUUACACAUCUGAAAAGGCUAAGUAUAAAUGCCUGAAUCAAGACCUUCCCAGUGACUUGAACUCGUAGCCCCUUUUGAUCCAGUGUGUCCAGCGGUCCUCUGCAGUGCAGCACCAGGUUUCUUAAACACACAGCAUGUCUCCCUGACACUUCAGCUUUACCGUUAAAUUGUACCACUUGAAAGCCAAUAUAUUUUCAUGUGAACUGUGUGUGAAAUAUAAAGCGUGGCAGGGUUGAAAAUGAAUUACUUUUUGAGUACAGCUUCAAAUCAAUGGCUCUUAUUCAACCUUAUUCAGUGAUGUUCAUCCCCGCACAAAAAAAAAACAAAGUUGGACGUGUGUAAGCACAUCAAGCACACGUGGAUCAAUGUGAUGGACUCAAAUAGUAAAGGCUACAACAUAAUUGACAUAUUACAUCAACCCAUAUGAAAUUGCUGGGUUCUACUUAGAUAUCAAUCAGACUGGCUGAUUGAUAUCUAAGAUAUCUGGCUUCACUGAAGACAAUACUGUUCUGCAGUGUGCUCUAUGUGCAAUGAAAUGAAAAUUGAGCCCUCUUUAUCAACUAUAUUUUGCUUUACCAUAAAGAUUGAUCUAUUUUUGUGUAUAAUGUUCCUCCAUAUUCCAGUCUCCAUUUUUACUCCUUAAUUUUAAUGAUGGACUGUAAUUAUAGGCUUCUCGGGACUGUGCAUGCUUUGGAGAAGUAUGGUGUCUCAGAGGUCUCUGAUUCAAAUUAUGGAUGUUUUCUUCACGUUUGAAUGUUUAUUGGUUUUUACUUCAAAAGUUGAUGGGAAAAUACAUGUCAAAUUUUUUUUUUUUUAAAUAUAUUUGCUGUUUAAUAAAUUAAAAUGACUCAUAAAUCAUUGGUAGAAGAUAAAAGAAAACCCUCACACGGUGUGGUAUGCUACUGGUAGCAGCUUCGUGUUUGUGAAAUAAAGGAAGAAUAAAGUAGAGCCUGUAUAUCAUCUUUUGUUUGGAUUAACUGGAAAUCCAGGUACCCAUGUGUAUGCAUGAUGCACUAAUGAUGCAAAAACACAACUGGCCAAGAAACAGCUGAGCAGCCAAUCGUCCAAUUACUUUUGCUUCCCUAAAAUGAGGGGCCAUGUUUAAAAAGGGCUGUGAGUCCUACACUGCUCAUCCGAUAUGGAUGAAACUAUGUUCAAUUAAAGCUGACGGUCUGCACUCUAA